rnacentral:tRNA from 1 species
UUAGUUGGUAGUGCGUCUGCCUUGUAAGCGCUAGGCCGCGGGUUCGAUUCCCGCCCGGUUCG